rnacentral:RNase_P_RNA from 2 species
AAGGCUUUAGGGCUAAUCGCUUCCGUAAGGAAGAGGAAAGUCCGGACUUCACAGAGCAGGGAGACAGCUAAUGGCUGCUGAGAGUAAUCUUAAGGAAAGUGCCACAGAAAAUAAACCGCCGUUUACGGUAAGGGUGAAAAGGUAGUGUAAGAGACUACCAGUGGUCUAAGAAAUUUGACCAGCUAGGUAAACCCCUCCUGAAGCAAGAAUAAAUAUAAGUCUAAAAAGGAGUUGCUCGCUCUGACUUUAGGGUAAUUUGCUCGAGCUGACAGUUAAUUGUCAGUCUAGAUAAAUGAUUAGCAGAAACAAAAUCCGGCUUAUACUAAGGCCUUUAUA